rnacentral:rRNA from 1 species
GACAGAGGAUGCAAACGUUGCUCGGAAUCACUGGGCGUAAAGGGCGUGUAGGCGGGAAGGAAAGUCAGAUGUGAAAUCCCUGGGCUCAACCCAGGAACUGCAUUUGAAACUCCCUUUCUUGAGUGUCGGAGAGGAAAGCGGAAUUCCUGGUGUAGAGGUGAAAUUCGUAGAUAUCAGGAGGAACACCGGUGGCGAAGGCGGCUUUCUGGACGACAACUGACGCUGAGACGCGAAAGCGUGGGGAGCAAACAGG